UACAGAGGUGGCAAGCGUUGUUCGGAAUUACUGGGCGUAAAGGGCGCGUAGGCGGCCAUCUAAGUCAGACGUGAAAUCCCCCGGCUCAACCUGGGAACUGCGUCUGAUACUGGACGGCUUGAGUUUGGGAGAGGGAUGUAGAAUUCCACGUGUAGCGGUGAAAUGCGUAGAGAUGUGGAGGAACACCAAUGGCGAAGGCAGCCUUCUGGGCCAACACUGACGCUCAUGCACGAAAGCGUGGGGAGCAAACAGG
rnacentral:rRNA from 1 species